GCCAGCGUGAGGGAGAGGGGCUGGGACAGCACUGGGAACCAGGAGGGCACCCUCAGGCUCUCCUGGGCAGAAGGAUGGCAGACCCAGGGUGGAGCACAGCUCAGGGGUGGGCCAGCCUGGGGGGUGCCCUGGGUGAAGGCAGAAAUGGUGGGGGCAUGGAGGGAGGAAAAGGCCUGGCUUGGGUCCUGUAGCUUCCCACAUAUGACACAGAAGCAGGGCUGCCUCUACAGGGCAGGAGGCCCCUUGGGCAAGUCCCGCCCCUCAGCCUGCUGUCCCAGCAGCCGCAAGCAAAGAACUGGCCUCAGGUUCCUGUGUGCAAGUGGGGAGGAGGCUACCAGGCCCGACAGGCACCCCUUGCCUGGGCCCAUGUCUGAGGAUGGGGAAGCAGGAAGGAAUCCAAUCCCCCUCUCUUCCCACACCAGCCCUGGGAGGCACCAAGCUCCCACUGCAAGGGCAGCAGAUCCCACCAACAGUGGGCUGGUCAGAGGCAGUGGCCCUGCAGGACCCCAGGCACAAGUCUGGUGUGGGGGCAGGUAUGCUCUGGUGCAGGUGGCAGGCCCUAUGAAAGGGUCAUCGGACCAUGCCCCAAGCCCUGCAGGGUGCACCCUGUGCCUCCUGGUGUCCUUGUGGAGUCCCCUCCUCUGCAGCCUGCCAUGAGCUACUCUGCUCCAGCGUCCAGGGCAGUGACAGCGGCACUGCCAUCAGAGACAGCCUCACCUCCUUGUGGGGAGUGGGGACAGGACAGGCUUUGAGUCAGCCCUCAGCCCUGCUGUGUACACCUCAGGGCCCACCUGGAAUAUGUGUGUGGCAUCAGGAAGAACUGUGCAUUUAAAAGGGUGUACAUCACACUGUGAUGAAGGCUGCCGCAAUCCCCAUUUUGUUAACCAGGAAACCGGGGCUUACAGGGAUGAGGUCUCUUGUCCCAGCUAUACAGUGAGGGGGCAAGUGGUUCUGGCUGCCUAAGCUCAGGACUCCACACUGCCAGGGCCACACUGUUACUUCUGGGCCUCGUCCCCCACCUCUAAGGCCCUCCUGGUGCUGGCCUAGGUCAGGCACAGUGGAGAGGUGGAGGCACGAGCCUGGCUUAGUCAGAGGGGUGGGGUCAAGGCGGGGGGGGUUUCAGCAGGAAUUCCAGCAACUUUCCUCAGGACUGCCGCCCCAGGGGCCUGUCUCAUCCCGUCCUGGGACCCUGGGCCAGGGUGGCUGGAAUGUGGCAGGUCCUGCAUUCUUUUACCUCCUGCCUGGGGGUCAGCGGGAAGUGAAGGCCAGGCCAGGGAGGAGAGGCAGGAGAGGGAGCCGGACCGAGGGUGGGAUCAGCCCGGGCAGCCGCACCUGGCUCGAGGCUGUCCUGGGGUUGCUGGCAGCAGCUCCAGCCCUGCCUGGAGGUGGUAGCAGGGAUCUGUAGCCCCAGUGCAGGCAGGGCCUGGAGCAGCCCAGGAAGUGCCCUACCCGCUUACUGCAAGAGGAGUCGCCCCUCAGGCCUGGGGUCCAGGAAGCCCUUCCCCACUAGAGGCCAUCUAGGGUGGGGACCCAGACCAGGUGGUUGAAUGCCUGGGUCAGACUGAGUUUGCUGAUCUUCCGCACCCUCUAAGCACACACACCCAGGGAGGGAGCCGAGACAAGAGCAGGGAACAGAGAACCCCAAUCUGGGCUUGGGCAGCUGCCGCUUGGCCCCUGCAGCCUCUGUGCCUGCUGACGUGACAGCAAGGAGACAGGCUGUCAGAGGGGCCUGGCAGAGCGAGGGAGGGCCGAGGUAGGGGUUCUUAUCCUGGGGUGCUCCCUCCUCGCCCUCUUUUCCUGUCUGAGUUCUGGAAUGUACUGACACAGGGGGCUCUGGCUUGAGCUGGGGGGGGGGGCCCUCCGCAGGGGCUGCAGGUCCAGGGAUUCCCCAGGGCCUGGACUUAUGUUCCUAAGCUGCAGACAGAGCGGGAAUGGCAAGUGCACCUGUGCCCCCCGCCCCUCCUUACCUCCAGAUGCCUGCUGGAGGGGGAGUUGGGGGUCCAACAGAGUCUGGGGCCAGGAGGGCCUUGUGGGAGCCAGCUGGGGUGAGGACAGAGCCCGGCUCUGAGAGCCCUGGGGCUUAGUAAAGAAGGGGUGCUCCUUCCCCACUCCUCACAUGGGUGGGAAGGUGCCCUCAGGCAGGAAGACUGGGACACAGGUACACUGGCCAGGGACCAUCCUUCACUCUGCAGCCUUUAUUCACUGAUGGGAUUCUGCCCCAGUCCCACCCCCGUGGGGGCAGGAUUUAGAGCAGGAACCGCCCCUCCGGGUCCUUUCCUGGGGCCUGUGCCAGGCUGAGCAGACUCAGGAGGUGUCUCUCCGAGGGUGUGGGCUGUGAUGGGGCCCUGUGCACCCAUCCACGCUGCCCAGACCAGGAGAGCACAGGUCAGCCGGACACGUGAUGGGGGCACGCUAGAAAUGCAGAAGGGGACGCAGCAGCCACAUUCCAAUCCACAAAGAUGCCGCGCAGGCCCAUCCAUCUGCCCCGUGAAUGCCAACCAGGCAGAGACACACAUACAGCUGAGCCUGGGCCGGAUCCCAGAGCAAACCCUUGGGUGCCUCCGGAGGGAGCCCGCCAGGAGGGAUGGCUCGUAAACACUGGGGAAGGAACAGAAGAGGGGGAGGGAGCGAAGGAACUCGGCUGCCCACCCCCAACCCAACCACUUGCCGAGAAGCCAUCUCUGUGGUCAUGGUGGCCCCAGGCCUGGCUCUCCCUGCGCCCACCCCCACCACCCAGUCACUCCACCCAGUCACCCCACCCAGCUGUGACCUGCCGCUUCCCUCCAUCUCACAUGCUUUCCCCUCACCUCCCCCAGAAAGCCUCCCCAGCCUCUGGCCUCCAGUCCCAACAAGCCAUGCUCUUCCAGAGGGAACCUCUGCCAGGGGAGCCUCCACUUCCUUGCUCCUGCCUCCCUAUCUGGCACCCAGGCCAGCCCUGGUACCCUGGUACUGAAUAAAGGCACACGUCUAAAUGAUGUUGGGGGGAAUCUGCCCAGUGUUGGCACUGGAGGGAACAAGACCCACUGCCAGCAUGGCCCACGAGCCACGCCCCCACAAGCCAGCACCUCCUCCCCAGAGGAAGCACGGGGCUCGAGGGGGUGCGCCCCUGAGUGGGAGGUCACACCUGGUGAGGGCUCCCUUGUUCCCAGAGGCCUAGCUGUCUCCCUGCUGAGAUGCAGAGCUCACUAUGGCCCUCACAGGGGUUUAAGCCGAGUCAUUUCAUCUUCACAGCAGCUGUAGGUCCCGCCGACAGAGCUGACACAUAGGGAGUUAAGUGACUGGCGCAAGGUCACAGGCUAGGAGUAGCAGCACGGGGCCCGGCACAAGGAAGGGCCUUAGCAUCCCCCACCUCCCCAACCUUGCAGCCUGCCCUGACUCCAAUCCCAGGGGAAUUCCUGAGCUGCAGGCAAAGGCUGAAGCAGGAGCUGACAAGUCCUGCUGAGCCCAGAGAGGUCUGGGCGGUCCUAGGAGGGCGUCUCCCUAGGGCUUUGAUGAGUUGGCGGCCGCCCAGGCACCUCUGCCUGCCUGCCCAGCAUGGCAGGUGUGUGGGCUGGAGCUUCUGCCCAGCCCUGCCCUACAGCCACAAUUAGGGGACAAGUGCAGAUAAAGCAUGGAGGCCAGUUACAUCUGAAUUUCAGAUCAACAAUGAAUUGUUAUUUUAGUACAGUAUAAAAGUAUUUGGCCCCAAAGAACUGGAAGCAGGAAAUGGAACAGGUCCUUGUACACCCAUGCUCACAGCAUCAUUCACCAGAGCCAGAAGGCAGAAACGAUGUCUCCCCACAGUUGAAUACAUUGUUUCCACAAACUGUCUGUAGGUGCAUACAAUGGAAUAGGAUUAAUCCGUGAAAAGGAAGAAAUUCUGGGCGUGGAGGAACCUUGAGGACGAAGCUGAGUGAAAGAAGCCAGACACAAAAGGACAGAGAUGGCAAGAUCCCACUCAUGUGAGGUCCCUAGAGGAGUCGGAUUCAUAGAGACUGAAAGGAUGGCGGGCACCAGGGGCAGUGGGGAGGGGAAAUGGGGAGUUACUGUUUAAUGGGGACAGUUUCAGUUUUACAAGAUGAAAAGGGUUGCGGAGCUGGAUGGGGGUGACAGCCGCACAAUAGCGUGAAUGGACUGAACGCCACUGAACUGAACUCUUAAAAACGGUUAAAUUGGCAAAUUUUGUUAUGCAUAUUUUGCCACAAAAAGCAAACAACUCUUCUCCCCAAAAAUAUCUGGAGUGUACUUACACUAAAUAUGUAGGGCAUAUUUACUCUCAACAUUUAUUUCCUUAUUUGAAAUUAAAAUAUUUGGGACACACUACACUACAAAA